rnacentral:misc_RNA from 1 species
GAUGAAGAACGCAGCGAAAUGCGAUAAGUAAUGUGAAUUGCAGAAUUCAGUGAAUCAUCGAAUCUUUGAACGCACAUUGCGCCCGCGAGUAUUCUCGCGGGCAUGCCUGUCCGAGCGUCAUUUCAACCCUCAGGGCCCGCCUGCUUGCAGGCGCGGCGCUGGUGUUGGGGAUCGGCUACCCUGCCGUCCCCCAAAUACAGUGGCGGUCUCGCUGCAGCCUCCCCUGCGUAGUAGCAACACUCGCAUGCGGAGCGCGGCGCGGCCACGCCGUAAAACCCCCGACUUUCUGAACGUUGACCUCGGAUCAGGCAGGAAUACCCGCUGAACUUAAGCAUAUCAAUAAGCGGAGGA